AAAAAGACAAACCCUGGUUUCCGUAUCCAAUAUUUGACCGUCCGUCUUAUUUGAAAAAAUUAUGAAAAAAUUAAAAAGACAAGUCACGCAUAAAAUAUUAAUCAUGUUUUAUCAUCUAACAACAAUGAAAAUACGAAUUAUAAAAAAAAUUCAUAUAAAACGGACAGUUAAAAUUGGACACGGAAAUUCAGGGUUUGACUUUUU
rnacentral:pre_miRNA from 1 species